rnacentral:piRNA from 1 species
UGUACAAGAAGGUGGUCUUAAUUUGGAAC